UCUGGCAACAACAUAUCGCGGUUAUCUGCCCAGCCGCAUCUUAUAUAAUGGAUUACGCUGUUGACGUCCAUCACAGUUGCCCAUUGUUCGAGUCACCAGUGGAGAGCACUUUUUUGCAUUCGUUUAUCUUCAACAAACAUUUACUCUUCAAACAUGAAGCUCGUCGUUGUUUUCCUUCUUGCUGCCUUGUGCCUGGUCACCGCCGACCCUCAUGUUGAUUGCAUGGCGACCUGUUGGAAUGCUGGUUAUAGUUGCGGCGGUGCGUGUAAAGCCGCUGAUGACCAGAGUAGCGGAACCGUCAUCAAUUGUUUCCGCGUCUGCAAAAGUACCCUCGUAGCGUGCACGGAUAAAUGCUAGAUACCCUUUUCCCAUUUAGAAAUGUACAACUAAUAAAAUAAACGGAUACAUUACUUUUUGGA